CCCUGCUUUAAUUUUGAUUCGAAAUAAGCUGUCUGACAGAUGGCUGCUAGAAAGCGUUUCGCUGCGCUUGGCGCAUUCAUUUAUUUCCUUCUUUAAUUACGGAAGUGGGUAUCCUGCCCUCCCCUCUACCCCCAGAUCUAUCCAAGAUGGCGGGCCUCUCCCUGUAUUACGAGGACCCACAGGACGAGCUGGAAGAAUGGCUCAGUAAAUGGAUCAGCAUCCAUGCCCACAUGCAGGAACAAUGGGGCCAGCUAUAGGAACUAUGCUGCAAUCCCUGCUGAAAUCAGCUGAUCUGCUCCUAUGAUGCUGCUUGGCCUGCUGGGUUCAUCCAGCUCUGCACCUUGUUGUCACACCUAGGAUUGUUAUGGUCUGCUGGAGGCUGUGCCACAAUUGUUGCUGCUUUGCAUGCUGAAUAUUGAUGAGCCUGCUAAUUGGAACAAAACAACCUGAAUGAGGAUUGACAAAAAAAGGUCUUUUUAUGUACUUCAAGAAAAAUCAGAUCCAAAGUUUUUUUUUGGAAAAUUUAAAGAUAUCUUAGCAACUACUGGGAGUUUAAAUUACGUGAUUAUACAGCUUCAAACCUAUAUGUAAAUGAUUGUAAAAUUGUACAGACAUGUAAUAGUUGAUCUGUGGUUGUGUUCGAGUUAGCACAUCAUUAUUGUUAUCUCACCUGAAGAUUGCUAUUAUAAAAAUGUCCUUGGUUAAAAGUC